GGGCACUUAGCUCAGUUGGUUAGAGCGCCUCCUUGACGUGGAGGAGGUCAUAGGUUCGAAUCCUAUAGUGCCCA
rnacentral:tRNA from 1 species